rnacentral:rRNA from 1 species
AGGACGAACGCUGGCGGCGUGCCUAACACAUGCAAGUGGAGCGACGACCCGGGCUUCGGCCCGGUGCAAAGCCGCGAACGGGUGAGUAACACGUGGGUAACCUGCCCUGAUGAUUGGGACAACCCGAGGAAACUCGGGCUAAUACCGAAUGUGCCCUCUGGCCGUAAGGCCUCUGGGGAAAGGAAGCUUCGGCCUCCGCAUUGGGAUGGGCCCGCGGCCCAUUAGCUUGUUGGUGAGGUAACGGCUCACCAAGGCAACGAUGGGUAGCUGGUCUGAGAGGACGAUCAGCCACACUGGGACUGAGACACGGCCCAGACUCCUACGGGAGGCAGCAGUGGGGAAUCUUGCGCAAUGCGCGAAAGCGUGACGCAGCAACGCCGCGUGGGGGAAGAAGGCCUUCGGGUUGUAAACCCCUUUCAGUUGGGACGAAGCUUCGGCGGUGAAUAGCCGCCUGGAGUGACGGUACCUUCAGAAGAAGCCCGGCUAACUACGUGCCAGCAGCCGCGGU